GCAGUCGACGGUAACAGGGAGAAAGCUUGCUUUCUUUGCUGACGAGUGGCGGACGGGUGAGUAAUGCUUGGGAAUCUGGCUUAUGGAGGGGGAUAACUACGGGAAACUGUAGCUAAUACCGCGUAAUAUCUUCGGAUUAAAGGGUGGGACUUUCGGGCCACCUGCCAUAAGAUGAGCCCAAGUGGGAUUAGGUAGUUGGUGGGGUAAAGGCCUACCAAGCCGACGAUCUCUAGCUGGUCUGAGAGGAUGACCAGCCACACUGGAACUGAGACACGGUCCAGACUCCUACGGGAGGCAGCAGUGGGGAAUAUUGCACAAUGGGGGGGACCCUGAUGCAGCCAUGCCGCGUGAAUGAAGAAGGCCUUCGGGUUGUAAAGUUCUUUCGGUGAUGAGGAAGGUGUUUGUUUUAAUAGAACAAGCAAUUGACGUUAGUCACAGAAGAAGCACCGGCUAACUCCGUGCCAGCAGCCGCGGUAAUACGGAGGGUGCGAGCGUUAAUCGGAAUGACUGGGCGUAAAGGGCACGCAGGCGGUGACUUAAGUGAGAUGUGAAAGCCCCGAGCUUAACUUGGGAAUUGCAUUUCAUACUGGGUCGCUAGAGUAUUUUAGGGAGGGGUAGAAUUCCACGUGUAGCGGUGAAAUGCGUAGAGAUGUGGAGGAAUACCGAGGGCGAAGGCAGCCCCUUGGGAAUAUACUGACGCUCAUGUGCGAAAGCGUGGGGAGCAAACAGGAUUAGAUACCC
rnacentral:rRNA from 1 species